rnacentral:lncRNA from 1 species
CCCUGGAUGUGCCGGGGCCUCGGUCUGGGGCCUGCAGCCUCUGGAGCGGAGACGGGCGUUCCUCGUGUCCAGCAGCCACCUGCAGGGACAGCUCGUUGUCGCCCCAUCCCACCGAGACACGUGGGAUCCUAAAACCGUGACAGAAACCCCGCCAUCACCCUGGCAGGAGGCACGCCGGACUUUCACGUGUGCACUCUAUUUGCAUGUGCGAGUACACACACAUGUGCACACGCGAGGGGGAGUCAAGCUCAGGUGCCACUUCAGUCGUCCACCUGUUAAAAACGGAAGAUGGAGCCGCCACCUGUCCACACUGCCACGUGCUCCUGUGACGUGGAUUCCCAGUCCAGGCGGCCUCCGAGCGUGCUCAGCUGCUGCGCCUGCACGGCCCGUGCGUCGGAUGCACCCGCGCUCUUUCAGGAGGGGGGAUGUCCACUUCCACUGGACCGCAAGAGACACCACGUGGUUGAGAUUUACUGCCUGCAGCUCCAGCAUCCGUGUGGGCGCCAGUUCAGUGCCGGCUGCCCCACUUCUGAUCCAGCUCUCUGCUAAUUUUCCUGGGAAAGCAGUGGAAGAUGGUCCAAGUCCUUGGGCCCCCACACCCGUGUGGGAGACCUGGAAGAAGCUCCUGGCUCCUGGCUUCCGAUCGGCACAGCUCCGGCCAUGCGGUCAUCUUGGGAGUGGACCAACGGAUGGAAGACCUCUCUCUCUCUCUCUCUCUCUCUGUAACUCUGCCUUUCAAAUAAAUAAAAAAUCUUUACCAAAAAAAAAAAAGAAAGAAAGAAAAUGAGUAGAGAGGAAAAAAGAGAAAGCAACAACAAAAUGUUCCUAUCCCACAGCAGAUUUUAAAGGAAAAGAGAGAAAAUCGCGUCCUGAAUUUUUUUCAGUGGUCACACAGCCUUGCAAAAACACGAUGCAGAGUUUUUAUCCUGGUGAGCAUCUGUCAGUGUUUUUUUUUUUUUUUUAAUGAACUCCCUAUUGAUGACUUGUCCUGAAUUCCUGGCCCAGCUCAGCACCCAGAAUGAAUCUGGAGUGGAGGACAGCUGUCAGCAGCUCUCUCAGGGUCCACGGUCACAGAUGCCAGCCCGGAUGGAGCCCCUGCCACCGCUCUGUGGAGACCACUCAGGCCCACCCCAUUGUCCCGUUCAUGGGC